rnacentral:rRNA from 1 species
UACGGGGGGAGCAAGCGUUGUUCGGAUUUACUGGGCGUAAAGGGCGCGUAGGCGGCCACGACAAGUCACUUGUGAAAUCUCCGGGCUUAACUCGGAACGGUCAAGUGAUACUGUCGGGCUAGAGUGCAGAAGGGGCAACUGGAAUUCUCGGUGUAGCGGUGAAAUGCGUAGAUAUCAAGAGGAACACCUGAGGUGAAGACGGGUUGCUGGGCUGAUACUGACGCUGAGGCGCGAAAGCUAGGGUAGCAAACGGG